GAAGGCCAACCCGCUGCUCCA
rnacentral:siRNA from 1 species